GUUAUUUCAUGAGAAAGUUUGGUAACUAUUUCUAGCAUAUCAAACGACAACGUAAGUAAAAGGAUCAUACAUUGGCGCAUGCAGUUAUUACUUGUGACAUCAUGUACACAACGCUGAGCAUGUAACAAAAUGCGAACAGCCGACAUUUAGAUGUCCUGGUUUUACAUUCGGCGCUCAUAAGCGCUCAUAAAAGUUCAUUGAAUGAAUAUUCAUCGUUUGACCUGCAUUCGACCGUGACCACCACGGGUUGUUUUCUGUUGUAUUACAUCCAGAUAUUCAUCAAUUUUCAAGAUGGUUCGGUGAAAUUUUAUGAAGAUGCGGGUUUUCUUUUUUCGCAUUGUAUGCUUCUUCAAGGUCUCCAGGAUUAAGCAGAAGAAGAUGGGAAAUCAUCCAGUUCAAACCAAGAAACCUGUACCAAAUGCUUGCAACAGAGUGAAUUCU